rnacentral:rRNA from 1 species
GAUGAACGCUAGCUACAGGCUUAACACAUGCAAGUCGAGGGGCAGCAUGAACCUAGCUUGCUAAGUUUGAUGGCGACCGGCGCACGGGUGAGUAACACGUAUCCAACCUGCCGAUGACUCGGGGAUAGCCUUUCGAAAGAAAGAUUAAUACCCGAUGGCAUAGUUCUUCCGCAUGGUAGAACUAUUAAAGAAUUUCGGUCAUCGAUGGGGAUGCGUUCCAUUAGGUUGUUGGCGGGGUAACGGCCCACCAAGCCUUCGAUGGAUAGGGGUUCUGAGAGGAAGGUCCCCCACAUUGGAACUGAGACACGGUCCAAACUCCUACGGGAGGCAGCAGUGAGGAAUAUUGGUCAAUGGACGAGAGUCUGAACCAGCCAAGUAGCGUGAAGGAUGACUGCCCUAUGGGUUGUAAACUUCUUUUAUACGGGAAUAAAGUGAGGCACGUGUGCCUUUUUGUAUGUACCGUAUGAAUAAGGAUCGGCUAACUCCGUG